ensembl:lncRNA
AAGGCUGCAAGAGACCGAGCCCUUUCCCAACUGAAAUCCUCGCUGCUGAGAAGAAAGCAAACAACCUCCACCCCCUUGACAAAUGAAGACGAUACAGACAUAGACACCAAUGUGGACUUAUUUGACCCACCUCAGGCUUCGGGAUCAACUGACCUCUCCCAAGGGGAAAGUGAAGAGGAGAGUGUCCUGAUGGAUCAGCCCAGAUCCAGUGUUGGCAUGCAACAGGAAGUGAUGGAUGCUCUGAAAGAAAUACCAGCCUUAGUCAAGUGUGUCAAAGAUCUUAUUGCAACCAUGAAGAGAAUGCCACCUGUCAUGGACACUGACAGUACAUGUUCUGGUUCUUCCAGUCCAGCUCCAGGAAUGCAUGCAGUUGUUCAGAAAUUAUGCUUUAAUUCAUUGAAGACCACUUGCAGAAAUUACAACUUAACUAAUAUUUGGCAUUCAAUAGUUCGGCUUUGUCUUUUAGGAAAUGCAUUCCAGCAACGUAUUCCUAAUACCAUUUCUAAUAAUUGACUAACUCUAUUUCCUGGACACAG